GGCUCUUGUUAAAAUGCAGAUUCUGAUGCAGCAGGUCUAGGGUGGAGGCUGAGAUUCUGCAUUUUUAAAAAGUUC
rnacentral:miRNA from 1 species